rnacentral:rRNA from 2 species
UAACAACGACUCUCGGCAACGGAUAUCUCGGCUCUCGCAUCGAUGAAGAACGUAGCGAAAUGCGAUACUUGGUGUGAAUUGCAGAAUCCCGUGAACCAUCGAGUCUUUGAACGCAAGUUGCGCCCGAAGCCUUCCGGCCAAGGGCACGUCUGCCUGGGCGUCACACACC